rnacentral:rRNA from 1 species
CCAAAAACGGUUAUAUCCUCUAAAGACAUUUGCUCUUGUGCUGUUUUUGUGCGUUGAACGACAUCAUGGAAUUUUUCGAUAGUCCAGUUGCGAAAAUUUAUAAUCUAAGAAAUUAGGAAUAUGUUACCAAUACUAUUAACGACUAUUAAAGUGCCAGCAGUCGCGGUCAUACUUUAGUUAAAAAUAAAUUCUAUCAGGACAUGUGAAAGUAACUAUCAACUUGUAGUAAAAUACAGUCAUAUAUACUUUAAUAUUUUCAUUGAGACAAAUACUGGCAACAAACAGGGAUUAGAUACCCCUUUAUGCAGUAAGUAAAUCACGUCCUGGGCACUACAAUUAAUAGAUUGAAACCCAACGAACAUGGCGGUAGUUUAAACUAUUUAGGGGAACUUACUAAGUAAAUGAUAACCACCAAGGAUAUGCACGCUAAAUUACAUUUUACAUACCGUCGUCGUCAGAUCUACUUCGAUAGAAUAUCACAAUAUUUAAGAAAUAAAAGGACAGAUCAAGGUGUAGACAAUUUUAUCGUUUCAGCGAGUUACAAUAUUUUUUGUUUUCGUAACCUAGUUAUAUAACUGCUUAUAGGCGGACUUAAAAGUAAUAUUUAUGGAGAAUACAAUAUGAAUAUUCUUAAACUGUGC